UACGGGGGGGGCAAUCGUUGUUCGGAAUUACUGGGCGUAAAGGGCUCGUAGGCGGCCAACUAAGUCAUACGUGAAAUCCCUCGGCUUAACCGGGGAACUGCGUCUGAUACUGGAUGGCUUGAGUUCGGGAGAGGGAUGCGGAAUUCCAGGUGUAGCGGUGAAAUGCGUAGAUAUCUGGAGGAACACCGGUGGCGAAGGCGGCAUCCUGGACCGGCAUUGACGCUGAGGCGCGAAAGCCAGGGGAGCAAACGGG
rnacentral:rRNA from 1 species